GAGUUCUUCUAGUGAAUUUUGUAACUGGGGGCUUAUCUUGGGGACCCUCAAAUAUGCAAUCAGUGUCAGAAAUGAGGGUUGGUGUCAGAAAGUGAGAUCCCAUGGACUACUUCUUUUUCUUUUUCUUUUUUUCAUACCAGGACUGAACCCAGGAGUGCUUAACCACUGAGCCACAUCCCCAGCCCUUUUUAUAUUUUAUUAAGAGACAGGGCCUCCCUCAGUGGCUGAGGCUGACUUUGAACUCUCGAUCCUCCUGCCUCAGCCUCCCGAGUGGCUGGGAUAACCGACGUGCACCACAUGGACAGUUUCUUAACACAUCUCCCAAACUGUGAGGGAACCAAGUUCUCUCAUUUUAAGAGAACAGAGCCGCAGGAGUGCGGCCUCCGCAGCAGCGUGACUCACUGGCUGUGCGCUUAUGUGAUUUGUCGUCGCGGCUCUCAAAACAAACACAGGCCUUCUCCCUUCCAGAAGCUUCUGUGGCAGCGGGUCUCAGAUUUCAAUCCCUCAAGAAAGACCUCUCCCUCCAGUAGUGUCCAGUCUUCCUCAAGCAACUUCCUUCCGCUGUCCGUUCAUUCCCUCAACACUGUGGUCAUGAGGAUCCCCUGGAGGACCCCAGCAGUGCCUGAAGUCCCAAGCUAUCUUGGCCCUGAGGCUGGACUUCCUGUGGUCCCGUCUAUGUCAGUGACUUCCUGCAGCAGACCCAUUUCUGGCUCCAGUAUUCCCCAGAAGGCUCACUGAGUCCACCUGAGGCUGCCCAGUGGCUGAAGACAUUUGUGGACAAACUUCCCUCCCUCUCUCCUUCCCUGGGGUCAGACUCCGCACCAAUCCAGCAGCUCUCCCAGCCUGCCCACCCCCAUUUUCUCUAUUAUAAGCUGUGUCUAUGUCCCAGAGACACCAUGAAAAUGACCAUCUUCACGUCACAUAAACAGCAAAAUGUAUUUCCGGUUCAGGAGACCAGGAGUCCCCGACCCCGGUGUCAGGAAGGUGUUUCCCUCUGGACUCUCUGAGGAGAGGCCGUUUCUUGCCUCUUCUGGAAAUCAGUGACUUCGGGAAAUCCAAGGAGCUCCUCAGCUUCUAGACACGUCGCUGUAACCUCUGGCUUCAUGGUCACAUGACCUCUCCUCUGUGUCUCUGUGUCCUCUCUUCUGCUUAUAAGGAUGCCAGCCAUUGACUUCAGAGUCCUCGUAACCCAAGAUGACGGCACCUUGAGAUCUUUAAACAGUUGUCUCUGUACAGGGCCUAUUUCCAAAUCAGGCCGCACUCCGAGGCCUGGGGGACAGGAGUUUUUGAAGAGACACUACACUGGUGCUUCCCUGCAUCGGCGUCUGACUCUUGGUGAACCUGAACCAACACACCUCCGUGGGUGGGACCAUGUGAGACAUCAGAGCUACAAUUGAGGCCCACCUCACAGGACAGUUACCACAAAUGUGGCCCCUGCCUCACGGGACAGGGGAUUUGGGAAUCGGACAGGCAGGGAGGGCCAGGUUGAGGAUGGGGGUGCCCUGAGACUCACCUCCACCUGCUUCUUGUCCUCCCAGUGAAAGCCUCUGUUCCGCUGGGUCCCACUUGUUUGGGACCUGGCCUUGCCACUUCUGGAGUGGGUUCUUUCUCUCCUGGAGCAGGCUUGCCCUCUUCUGGAGUGGCCCACUUCUUCUAGACCAGGUCUGGCCUCUUCUGGAGAGGGACCUGCCCCUUCUAGAGCAGGCUUGGUCCCUUUUGGAGUGGGCCCUGCCUCUUCUAGACCAGGCUUUGCCUCUUCUGGAGCAGUCUCUGUCUCUUCCAGAGCAGGCUUGGCCUUUUCUGGAGCAGGGCCUGCCUUUUCUAGAGCACACUCUUCUGGAGUGUGGGAGGGGGGCUUCCUGUUUUGGAGCCAGCCUGCCUCUUCUGGAGUGGGCCCUGCCUCUAGUGGACCAGGCUUUGGCCUCUUCUGGAGUGGUCUCUGCCUAUUCUAGAGCAGGCUUGGUCUCUUUCUGGAGUGGUCCCUGCCUCUUCUGGACCAGGUUUCUGGAGCUGGGCCUGCCUCUUCUAGAGCAGGUCUGUUCUCUUCUGUAGUGAGGCCCGGCCUGUUCUGGAGCCAGCCUGUCUCUUCUGUAGUGGGCCCUGCCUCUUCUGGACUAGGUUUUUCCUCUUCUAGAGCAGACUUGGCUGGAGUGGGCCCUACCUCUCCUGGACCAGGUUUGUCUUCUUCUGGAAUGGUCUCUGCCUCUUCUAGAGCAGGCUUGGUCUCUUCUGGAAUUGGGGCCCUGCCUGUUCUGGAGCCAGCCUGCCUCUUCUGGAGGGGGCCCUGGCAUUUCUGGAGCUAUUCCUGACUCUUCUGGAGCGGGGCCUGGCUUCCAGGCGGUACACACGCAGGAGGCUGUCUUGUUGGUGAAAACACCAGGGAGAGUCUGCAGGGCUCUCUUCUCCCUGCCUCUCCUGAGCCUGAAAUAAAUGAGAAAGAGCUGUUCCUGGCAGGGUCUGCCGAGGAGCUUCAUGGCAGGAAUGAAAAUUGGCUGCAGCAUCCAAGAAAUCCUCGAAUGGCAGGGAUUUCCAGGACAACAUACCUCUAGGAAAGGAGCUGGAGGGGGAGGAUUGCAGGCGCCUCGGCGAUGGCACCCACUGUGUGCACAGGUGUACACCCCUACCUGGGGCCUACCUGCUGGCACUGGGGGUGAGGGGAGGGGCUUGGGGAACCCGGCAGGGGUCACAGCACAGACCCACCUGUAGUGUCUGCCCAUCUGCCAGCCUCUUCCAGUACCCAAGCCCAUCGGCUGUUUGGGGUCACCUUGUCCUGUUACAUUUCAACAAAAUCCGGCUUGGCACCCAUCCAGGGCCUGGGAGGGACGCCAGGUCCCUUCGACUCCCUGGGAAUUCUCUGCAGGCUGACAUGGCUUCAGGCCUGUCUGGCACCGGGCUCUGGCUUUCUCUGAAUUCUCCAUCUGCCCUGGGAUGCGGUGUGUCCUGGGCUGGCCGGUCCUCCUUGGCCAAGCGUCACAUCCAGACGGUCAGGGACCUAACGCUGCCUGAAAGCGGCUUUUUCCAGACUCCAUCACAUCCUCGGAUGCUUAAACUGAAACAAGGAGACCCUGGCCCUCGAAGUCCCUUGGCCAGUCCUGCCUCUUGGAGCUGUGCCUGGCCCUUCUACCCUCCGACCUGGCCUCGAAGCCCCAGUUCCAUCAGAGUGGCCCAUGACAGGUUCUCCUCCCUCUUCUCACCCCCACCUUAAAUGGAAUCUGCCAGACGGAUCUACCUCCCAUCCCUGUUUAGACAACCCCUUCCUCUCCCCCAGGGAAGUAAUUUCUGGAUCUUUCUAGAAACCCAAGCCAGAGAGAAGUACCCAUGUCCAAGCCCUGGCCUCGAGCUGAGCUGGUAGCACACCAGAAAUGCAAGAGCUGGUGCAGCUUGACUUGCAGCCCUGUGUCUUACGGAGGGGAAACUGAGGCCAGAGACAGAAACCACUUGCCCGAAUCAUGCCGCGAGUUAGUGUCCUGGGAACCGGGAACCUGGCCUCCUAAGGUCUUAUCCCAGCUCUCAGGGCCUGAGGGCACCUCCAGGCACAGAGCUGUGGGUAAGGGGUCCUCAGACAGCUCCCUCUUGCAGCUGGGGCUCGGAUACAGUAGAAAAUCUGUGCCAGGCAGGCCUGGGUGCCUCCCUCUCUCUAGGUUCAGGGACGCUAGACUGGGAGGUGGGCAGACCUUACUGCCUUCUGUCCCUCCUCUCCACUCCAGUCCCCAGAGUACAGGACAGCUCUGUCCUCCUCUCCACUGAGGAAGAACAUCUUUGCUAAAACCAUUAUAGAGCAUUCUGGACAAAAAUUCGUUCCUAUGUUGAAGUCCUACCCCUCCGUAUGGCUAUAAGGGGCCCAUAAGGAGGUAACUGAGGUCAAGUAAGGUCAUAAGGGAGGGGCCCUGCUCCAAUAGGAGUAGUGUCCUCAUAAGAAGAGGGGGCCAGUGUCUCUCUCCUCUGUGGGGACAUAGCAAAGAGGCCAACUGUAGUCAGGAAUAAAGCCCUUGUCAGAAAGCAACCCUGCCAGAAUCUCGAUCUUGGUCUUACAGCCUCCAGAACUGUGAGAAAAUGAAUCUCUACUGUUUAAGCCACCUAGUCUGUGGCAUUGUGUUAUAGCAGCCACAACAGAAAAAGAGAUCAGAACUAUUUAUAGACUCAGUGAUAUCAAGUCUGGGAGUUUCCUCAAAAUAAUAACAGAGGAGGAAAUGGGCAGGGGUACAAAGGAAACAGGGUUAUCUGCAAGCUGACAACUGUCGAAUGUGAGCGAUGGGCUCCUGGUGGGGGUCAUUAUUUUGUUCUCUUUGUUUUUAUGUGUUCCUGAAAAAAAAAGAAUGUUCAUAGAAAUAUAUAGUGGAGUAGGUCAUGAAAUCAAUUCAGUGGGUCACGACCAACAUUAGAAACAACAUCGAAGAAAAUAGAACAGUCUAGAAUAGAACCCACCAGAAUGCAUUACCUGAAUUAAUAUAAUUAAUACUUGACGAAACAUUUUUUAGGAGUGUGUGUGUGUGUGUGUGUGUGUGUGAAUGUUAGAUGUACUUUUUACUGAAGUCACAGUGAAAAGAGUUGGAAAUCGAUUUCUCGUACUUGGUUUGACAGUGAUCUUUGGAACCAGAUUGCCUAAUCCCAGCUAGCUAUGUGACCAUGAGCAAGUUACCAAGUUUCUCUGUGCCUCAGUCCCCAUGUCUUUAAAAUGCAGCUAAGACUACUACUCACAUCCUAGGAUUGAUGUGAGAAUUAAAUGAGUUAAUAGGUGUGAGGCAUUCCCAACAACGCCUAACAGGCUGUAAGUGGUCAAUAAACACUAAUAUUACAAUGACAUUGAGUUUGCUGGCUUGAAAAGGUGUGUGUUUUCUGAGAGAAAACCACAAAAGAAGAAGUCUCUAACGGUGGAAUUCCAGACAGUGAGGUGACUGCGUUCACUCAUGAACAUUCAUCAUGGCGUCAGGCACGUCCUCUAGGUACUGGUCCCAGGACACUGGGAAUAGGGGGCGGGGGGAGAGACAGACACAGUCCAUGCCCCCUGGAGCUCACCCUCCACUGAGAAGAGAAAUUAAGCCCUUUAUCAUAAUAAACGUGUAAUUAUUGGGUGGGAGAAAAAAGCAGGGUGGUAGAGGACCAAGAGACCAGGCAGAAACCAACACCCAAAUGAUAUUUUUGACUCAGCCACAAGUAAGAUCAGGGGCAGGUGUGAGUGGGACAGGCAGAGGAACAGAGAGGGCCAAGGCGUGGGGACAGGACCACUGCAUGACAGGAGCCGGGUGCUAAGUACUGCCCUGCCCAGGAGGGUAGCCACCAGCUGCAUGUGGCUACUUAAAUUCAAAUUGAUGAAAAACAAAAUUAAAAAUUCAGUCCCCUGGUGCUCAAAGGCCACUCUGCAUUAGGCAGACCGUGCACCAAACAUCCCCGUGGCGGAAGGCUGGCGGGUCAGCACUGGUCAAGAUGCCACAGUAACGGCUGGACCCUGGAACCACCAAGGAACCAAAUUUCAAAUUUGAUUUCAUGUUAAUUCAUUAAAAUUAAAUUGUUCAAUGGCCCUUUCAUUCAGUAAUUGGAAGACGUAAUUAUGUUUGGAAAAUAACUUGGGUAUGUAUAUCUACUUUUUUCAACUGUUACAUUUUAUGGAAUCCAAAUAGAGAUCAAGUUGAAAUUCACUGGAAGAAGAAAAACAGGCACACCAGACGGCGAAGACACAAAAUGAAAGAAAUGAAGAUAAAAUAUCUCAUUAAUUAGUUUUGUAUUGAUUACAAGAUAAGAUGAUAUUUUGGAUAUAAUGCGUUCCCGAAAACACGUUAUGAAAAUAAAAGAUAAUCUGGGCUGUUUUCCCUUUUAUUUUUAGUGUAGC
rnacentral:lncRNA from 1 species